rnacentral:rRNA from 1 species
CCUACGGGAGGCAGCAGUGAGGAAUAUUGGUCAAUGGGCGGAAGCCUGAACCAGCCAAGUAGCGUGCAGGAUGACGGCCCUACGGGUUGUAAACUGCUUUUAUACGGGAAUAACGCGCCUUACGUGUAGGGCUUUGCAUGUACCGUAUGAAUAAGGACCGGCUAAUUCCGUGCCAGCAGCCGCGGUCAUACGGAAGGUCCGGGCGUUAUCCGGAUUUAUUGGGUGUAAAGGGAGCGUAGGCCGCAUGUCAAUGGUGCUGUGAAAUGUCCGGGCUCAACCCGGGCCUUGCAGCGCGGACUGGCGUGCUUGAGUCCGCGGAAAGCAGGCGGAAUUCGUCGUGUAGCGGUGAAAUGCUUAGAUAUGACGAAGAACCCCGAUUGCGAAGGCAGCUUGCUGCAGCGGAACUGACGCUGAUGCUCGAAAGCGCGGGGAUCGAACAGGAUUAGAUACCCCUGUAGUC